GCCCCCGUAGCCCAAUUGGCAGAGGCAAGCGGCUUAAAACCGCUCCAGGUGUGGGUUCGAGUCCCACCGGGGGCACCA
rnacentral:tRNA from 1 species